GAAGAAAGCUGGCGGCGUGCUUAACACAUGCAAGUCGAACGGUGAAGCCCUUCGGGGUGGAUCAGUGGCGAACGGGUGAGUAACACGUGAGCAACCUGCCCCUGGCUCUGGGACAACCACUGGAAACGGUGGCUAAUACCGGAUACGACCCGCCUCGGCAUCGAGUGUGGGUGGAAAGUUUUUCGGCUGGGGAUGGGCUCGCGGCCUAUCAGCUUGUUGGUGAGGUGAAGGCUCACCAAGGCGACGACGGGUAGCCGGCCUGAGAGGGCGACCGGCCACACUGGGACUGAGACACGGCCCAGACUCCUACGGGAGGCAGCAGUGGGGAAUAUUGCACAAUGGGCGAAAGCCUGAUGCAGCGACGCCGCGUGAGGGAUGACGGCCUUCGGGUUGUAAACCUCUUUCAGCUCCGAAGAAGCGAAAGUGACGGUAGGAGCAGAAGAAGCACCGGCUAACUACGUG
rnacentral:rRNA from 1 species